GAUAAACGCUAGCGGCAGGCUUAACACAUGCAAGUCGAGGGGCAGCAAUGUUUUGGUGGCGACCGGCGGACGGGUGCGUAACGCGUAUGCAACCUACCUUUAACAGGGGGAUAACGGAGAGAAAUUUCCACUAAUACCCCAUAACAUCGAUCAAGGCAUCUUGAUUGGUUGAAAACUCCGGUGGUUAAAGAUGGGCAUGCGUUGUAUUAGGUAGUUGGUGAGGUAAUGGCUCACCAAGCCUACGAUACAUAGGGGGACUGAGAGGUUAGCCCCCCACACUGGUACUGAGACACGGACCAGACUCCUACGGGAGGCAGCAGUGAGGAAUAUUGGUCAAUGGGGGCAACCCUGAACCAGCCAUGCCGCGUGCAGGAAGACGGCUCUAUGAGUUGUAAACUGCUUUUAAACAGGGAUAAAGCACAGUAUGUAUACUGUGUUGAAGGUACUGUAAGAAUAAGGAUCGGCUAACUCCGUGCCAGCCGCCGCCGUAA
rnacentral:rRNA from 1 species